rnacentral:lncRNA from 1 species
AUUCCUUGCUAAAAUUUUCCCAAACCUUUCCUCGCUCGGGCUCCUCUCCCUAUAGUCAGCUUGAUACCCAUCCUGGUAUUUCUUGACAGUUUUGGCACGGGAAUUCUGUUUCCCUCAGCGACGAAUGUGGCAUUGACAAAUUCAAGGGAUCGGAAGAAACAUUCCACUGCGUCUUUGCUUACUUCAAGGUAUGGCGCAUCAGCAGAGAUAGAUGCGACAAUGUCUUCUUCUCCUUCGACGAUGACCAAACAGCCAUCCAUGAUAAAUUUCACCUUUUGAUGGAGGGAUGAUG